rnacentral:rRNA from 1 species
AACGAACGCUGGCGGCGUGGUUUAGGCAUGCAAGUCGAGCGAGAAAGUCCUUCGGACGAGUACAGCGGCGAAAGGGUGAGUAAUAUAUAGGUAACCUACCUCUUGGACUCGGAUAAUUCCUGGAAACGGGUUAGUAAUACGAGAUCGUCCUAUUGGGUCGCAUGGCCCGACUGGUAAAUGGUAGCUCUGCUUCUGCCGAGAGAGGGGCCUAUAUCCUAUUAGCUAGUUGGUGAGGUAAUGGCUCACCAAGGCUUUGAUGGGUAGCCGGACUGAGAGGUUGGCCGGUCACACUGGGACUGAGACACUGCCCAGACUCCUACGGGAGGCUGCAGUCGAGAAUCUUCCGCAAUGGGCGAAAAGCCUGACGGGGCGACGCCGCGUGAACGAAGAAGGCCUCGGUGUAAG